UAAAGUUAUUAUUUUUACAAUAAUAUAAUGUUGUUCAUAUAUAUAAAAAGGUGUUAAAAUAUGACAUAGGACCAAAUUGCUUCGAUCCUACCAAGAGUGCACAAGGGGUGAAGAGUGGAUUCGAGGCGUGCACAUGCUUCAGAUGAAGCCAGCAAACAACCCCUUUGAAAAUUCAAUAAUGAUCCUUCCGCAGGUUCACCUACGGAAA
rnacentral:misc_RNA from 1 species